AUUGAACGCUGGCGGCAGGCCUAACACAUGCAAGUCGAGCGAGCGGCGGACGGGUGAGUAAUGUCUGGGAAACUGCCUGAUGGAGGGGGAUAACUACUGGAAACGGUUGCUAAUACCGCAUACCAUCAGAUGUGCCCAGACGGGAGUAGUUAGUAGGUGGGGUAACGUCCCACCUAGGCGACGAUCCCUAGCUGGUCUGAGAGGAUGACCAGCCACACUGGAACGGAGAAACGGUCCAAACUCAUACGUGGGGCAGCAGUGGGGAAUAUUGGACAUUGGGCGCAAGCCUGAUGCAGCCAUGCCGCGUGUGUGAAGAAGGCCUUCGGGUUGUAAAGCACUUUCAGCGGGGAGGCGUUACCCGCAGAAGAAGCACCGGCUAACUCCGUGCCAGCAGCCGCGGUAAUUC
rnacentral:rRNA from 1 species